rnacentral:rRNA from 1 species
GACGAACCGAGCGACCGUUGUUCGGAAUCACUGGGCUUAAAGGGCGCGUAGGCGGGGAUUCAAGUCUAUGGUGAAAUCCGGCAGCUCAACUGUCGAGUUGCCGUGGAUACUGGGUAUCUCGAGGGAGGUAGGGGCGUGCGGAACUAAUGGUGGAGCGGUGAAAUGCGUUGAUAUCAUUAGGAACUCCGGUGGCGAAGGCGGCACGCUGGACCUCUUCUGACGCUGAGGCGCGAAAGCCAGGGGAGCAAACGGG